UAUCACAGCCAUCUUGACGUGUC
rnacentral:miRNA from 1 species